AGUGAACGCUGGCGGCAGGCCUAACACAUGCAAGUCGAACGGCAGCACGGCAGUAGCAAUACUGUGGGUGGCGAGUGGCGGACGGGUGAGGAAUACAUCGGGAUCUACCCUGUUGUGGGGGAUAACGUAGGGAAACUUACGCUAAUACCGCAUAAGAACUGAGGUUGAAAGCGGCGGACCGCAAGGCGUCGCGCGAUUGGAUGAACCGAUGUCCGAUUAGCUAGUUGGCGGGGUAAAGGCCCACCAAGGCGACGAUCGGUAGCUGGUCUGAGAGGACGACCAGCCACACUGGAACUGAGACACGGUCCAGACUCCUACGGGAGGCAGCAGUGGGGAAUAUUGCGCAAUGGGGGAAACCCUGACGCAGCUACGCCGCGUGGGUGAUGAAGGCCUUCGGGUUGUAAAGCCCUGUCGGGAGGGACGGAAUACUGACGGUACCUCCCAAGAAAGCACCGGCUAACUCCGUGCCAGCAGCCGCGGUAA
rnacentral:rRNA from 1 species